rnacentral:lncRNA from 1 species
CCGCCAUCUUGGAAAUAUUUUUUGACAAAUUAUCUCGAAGGUCAAUGAACUUUGUGACGUCAUUGGCUGGGUAGCACUAAAACUACAAGAGGGAAUUCUAUUGCGUGUGUGUUAUGUUAGCUAAAAAUAUGUCGUUUUGAGCGUUAUACUGGCCAACACUCUUCACAAUCAAACAAGAUAAGUCUACACUAUCAGAUAAAAACAUAUCGAGCGACUGGGAAAGCAAGGAAUGGCGCAAUUUACAAUACAGGUAAUUGAUCAUAAAAUAUUGCAUUAGUAUUUGUCUUGUUGCACUCGAAUUUCUGCGUUUAUUUAACACGGAGUAGGAUAUACACU